rnacentral:rRNA from 1 species
GGAAUAUUGGACAAUGGGCGAAAGCCUGAUCCAGCAAUGCCGCGUGAGUGAUGAAGGCCUUAGGGUUGUAAAGCUCUUUUACCCGGGAUGAUAAUGACAGUACCGGGAGAAUAAGCCCCGGCUAACUCCGUGCCAGCAGCCGCGGUCAUACGGAGGGGGCUAGCGUUGUUCGGAAUUACUGGGCGUAAAGCGCACGUAGGCGGCUUUGUAAGUUAGAGGUGAAAGCCCGGAGCUCAACUCCGGAACUGCCUUUAAGACUGCAUCGCUAGAACGUCGGAGAGGUAAGUGGAAUUCCGAGUGUAGAGGUGAAGUUCGUAGAUAUUCGGAAGAACACCAGUGGCGAAGGCGACUCACUGGACAUGUAUUGACGCUGAGGUACGAAAGCGUGGGGAGCAAAC